UACGGAAGGCAGCAGUGGGGAAUAUUGCACAAUGGGCGCAAGCCUGAUGCAGCCAUGCCGCGUGUAUGAAGAAGGCCUUCGGGUUGUAAAGUACUUUCAGUCGUGAGGAAGGUGUUAAGGUUAAUAACCUUAGCAAUUGACGUUAGCGACAGAAGAAGCACCGGCUAACUCCGUGCCAGCAGCCGCGGUAAUACGGAGGGUGCGAGCGUUAAUCGGAAUUACUGGGCGUAAAGGGCACGCAGGCGGUUAAUUAAGUUGGAUGUGAAAAUCCCCGGGCUUAACCUGGGAAUGGCAUUCAAGACUGGUUAGCUAGAGUCUUGUAGAGGGGGUAGAAUUCCAUGUGUAGCGGUGAAAUGCGUAGAGAUGUGGAGGAAUACCGGUGGCGAAGGCGGCCCCUGGACAAAGACUGACGCUCAUGUGCGAAAGCGUGGGGAGCAAACAGGAUUAGAUACC
rnacentral:rRNA from 1 species